ensembl:lncRNA novel transcript
ACUGAAAAAAAUUGACUUGUAUGAGAAGAACGGAGACAGAAGGCUUGGUGGGUUAACAUUGUCUUGCUGGAGACUAAAAAGCAACCCUAUGGUGGAGGAAUUGGAAAAUAUCACAAAGAAGGUAGAAAAGGUCCUGCUCAGGCAAGUGUGGCCCAGUGCCUGCUUUCCAGCUCAGGCCUCCGGGGUGCUAGAGAAAGAGGGGCAGGGACUGCAUCAGUGGGGCUGAGUCUUGGCUGCUGUAUGGGAAGCCAGUGAGAGAAGAAGGCCUGGUUAGAAGGAAGAGUUGGAGACAUAACUGAACACCACAACCAUCAGGGCAGCCCAGAGGAGGGCAAGGUGUCCAACUAAUGUUACUGUCAGAUAAAUGAGAAUCUACAAGAACCACAGAAAAACAAAGAUUAACAUGACCCAGAAAUAGCUGGCAGGAGAGUUUGAAAGCUCAGCUUUAGAGAAACUGAACAGAAGUGGUUCCUGAUUUGAAUAAAAUUGAAGUUGGUGAUUAGUGUGGCCAGGGAAGAAAGAAACUUAAGAGUGACCACAGUUUGUGGGUUUUG